UCCAGCACGGACCGCCGAGAUUGGAGCCUCCGCAC
rnacentral:sRNA from 1 species